rnacentral:rRNA from 1 species
GACGAACGCUGGCGGCGUGCUUAACACAUGCAAGUCGAACGGAAAGGCCCUGCUUUUGUGGGGUGCUCGAGUGGCGAACGGGUGAGUAACACGUGAGUAACCUGCCCUUGACUUUGGGAUAACUUCAGGAAACUGGGGCGAAUACCGGAUAGGAGCUCCUGCUGCAUGGUGGGGGUUGGAAAGUUUCGGCGGUUGGGGAUGGACUCGCGGCUUAUCAGCUUGUUGGUGGGGUAGUGGCUUACCAAGGCUUUGACGGGUAGCCGGCCUGAGAGGGUGACCGGCCACAUUGGGCCUGAGAUACGGCCCAGACUCCUACGGGAGGCAGCAGUGGGGAAUAUUGCACAAUGGGCGGAAGCCUGAUGCAGCAACGCCGCGUGCGGGAUGACGGCCUUCGGGUUGUAAACCGCUUUCGCCUGUGACGAAGCGUGAGUGACGGUAAUGGGUAAAGAAGCACCGGCUAACUACGUG